GCGAGUAUAACUCUCUAACACCAUUGUGAACGAACUGCCAAACGUUGCUUCGGCGGGGUGACCCGCCGACAGAACGCAAACUCUGUACUAUUUGUAUCUCUGAGUAAACUUUUAAUAAGUU
rnacentral:misc_RNA from 1 species